rnacentral:lncRNA from 1 species
GCAAUAGAAGUCGUGGACGGAGCCCGGCUCCCGUAGGAGUCCGGACGGAGUCUUCCUUGCAGUAGAAGUCGUGGACGGAGCGACGGGAGUUCACCAACAGUAGUCAAAAGUCGGAAGAGACUUGCGAGGGUCGAUCCCACCGAGAACUUCGGCCGAGGGUAUUUUAUACCCAACAAUAUGAAUGCAAGUCUGUUUUUAUUAUUGUAUAUGUAGAUGUAAUUAAUUCUUAAAAUUAGAUUUCAAAUCUUAGUAGUCUAAUACUUAAAUUAAAAUGACCAUUAGGCCAUC